AGAAAAAGAAGAACCUUUACUCCUUGAAAAAGGAAUUCGCAGUUGAAUCUAGAGAGUGCAGAAAGAAAAAAAAAAAGAAGGGAUGAAAAGUUAAAGUAUGGGAAUCAAAGUCUUGUAAUUGAAGCAGCCAUAAUCAAAGAAACGGACGUUAAUACUUAUUGAGGAGAUGCUGCUCAAACAUGGCGUAUUGAUUGAUAUGAUUAAACACAACCCAAUAGCACGCAACAAGUUUUUGUCAGCAUUUGUGACGUCGAAUUUAAAAAUGAUCCUCCCAUUCGAUUCAUUUAACCUACGCAUCCGUAUUGGCUUCUCUGAUCGGUUCUUUCGCCCACCCAUUUGACAUUUUUCCAUUUUUCCUUCUUAAAAUACAAUAAAACCCAUAUCCCUCUCUUCCCUCUCUUCCCUUCUCGAUCGCCACACUCACCCAAUAAGCGCCUGGAUCUGUUUCCUUCUAUCUGGGUUUUCAGCUCUUGGCGGGUUUUGCUCAGAUAAGUGAUUUUGCUUCUUUGUUGAUUGUUGAUUGUGUUGCUCUUUCAAGGGUUCUUUCUCUUAUCUUACCUCUUUUUUCAGUUUAAUCGUUCUUGUCCAAUAUUUGAGUUUAGUUGUGUUUGAAGGGGUUUCUCUUGGUUCUGGGAAAAUGGGGUUUGUUUGAAAGAAAUUUCCUAUUAUCUAGUGGGGAAAUUUCGGCUUGGGUGUGCUUGAUUUGUCCAUUCUGUUAUCUUAGGGAUGAUUAAUUGGUGGUUUUAAUAGUUUAAGGAUCCUGUGGAAGAUGGGAUUCUGGGGUAUGUGUUUUUGAGUAUGAGGUGAAGUGUUCCUUUGAAAUAUAUGGAAGGGAAUUUAUCACAAGGAGGGUUGAUUCCAGGAGGGAGUUCUUAUGGAGGUCUUGAUUUGCAAGGACCGUUUAAGGUUCAUAAUCAGGGACAGCUCUCUCAUGCCUUACACCAACAGCAUCAUCCUCAUACUCGUCAGGGAUCAUCAGCUAAUCCCUCCAUUCAGGAGGGAUUUUCACUUUCCAUGGGAGUUGUACAAAAUUGUGACCAUACCAUGUCUUUGGUAGAGUAUAACAAGGGAGAAAGGUGUAAAAACUCAGCUAGCGACGAAGAUCCGAGUUUUAAUGAGGAUAGUAUUGAUGGUCAUAAUGAGAAUAGUAAGGGGAAGAAGGGAUCGAUGUGGCACCGCGUGAAAUGGACAGAUAAAAUGGUGAAGCUUCUGAUUACAGCAGUGUCUUAUAUAGGAGAUGAUAUUGCUUCAGAUAUUGAUGGGGGUGGAAGAAGGAAAUGCCAAAUUAUACAGAAGAAAGGUAAAUGGAAACUGAUAUCAAAAGUCAUUGCUGAAAGGGGUUAUCAAGUUUCACCUCAGCAGUGUGAGGAUAAAUUUAAUGACCUCAAUAAGAGGUAUAAGAGGCUCAAUGAUAUAAUUGGGAGAGGCACUUCUUGUCAGGUUGUUGAGAAUCCAGCACUUCUUGAUGUCAUUGAUUAUUUAACUGAAAAAGAUAAGGAUGAUGUGAGAAAAAUUUUAAACUCAAAGCAACUGUUCUAUGAGGAGAUGUGUUCUUAUCAUAACUCAAAUCGACUUCAUCUGCCCCAUGAUCCUGCUUUGCAGCGUUCGUUGCAGCUGGCUUUUAGAGCAAGGGAUGAUCACGAUAAUGACGAGCCAAGAAGACAUCAAAAUGAUGAUUUUGAUGAACACGAACCUGAUGAAACUGAUGAACAUGAUGAUUAUGAGGAGAAUUUUGUACCCCAUACGGACAAUAGGCGAUCGCUUGGGGUAUUAGGAGGUUCGGUGAAGAGGCUAAAACGAGGCCAAGACCAUGAUGAUGCACAUGCUUGUGGUAAUUCCUUGAGUCCUCUUGAUUGCAACAAAAGUUCUCAUCCUCAUUCACAAGCACAAUUUACUCAAGCUGAUACAGCUCAUUUAGAAACUGAAAGUAUGAAAGCUUCUACAUCGCAAAAGCAGUGGAUGGAGCUUCGCUUACUUCAAUUGGAAGAUCAGAAACUUCAAAUUCAAGUUGAAAUGUUGGAACUGGAGAAACAAAAGUUUAAGUGGGAGAGAUUUAACAAGAAAAAGGACCGCGAGUUGGAAAAAAUGAGGAUGGUGAACGAGAGGAUGAAGCUUGAAAAUGAGCGCCUUGCACUUGACUUAAAGCAAAAGCAAAUUGGAUCAGGAUUUCAUUAAUUGGCUGACAUGAUCUGAAUUAAUUCUAUCAGCAUAUCUGUGCAAAUCUCGACGAUCUGUAAUUCUGAUAGAAUACUGCUACUUGAAGCGCUUGAGUUGGCUCGCCCGCUCCAGGGAUUAUUGCUUAGGAAACAACUGUUGGAAGAAGAGGAAUUAGUAUAGUUCAGUGCAAAGUUACAUUUUCCUUGCCACUCUUUGCUGCAGCAUCCAUAUGCAGUCAUGAAAUGAUGAUGCUAUGCAAUUGCUGCUUUUCAUCUUACCUAAAAGUUCUGUGAAUUAUCUGACACUGCCUUAGAGCUAUGGAUGAAGAUGUAGAUCGAUCACCCUAUUUCAACAACUACAUAGAGGGUCUUAAGUGAAAGUCGUUGUCAUUCCAUUACAUAGAAAGACAUGGAAGUUGGCCGUAGCUUUCAGAGAUAGGGGGAGUGUUGAUUAAACCACGUGCUCCACUUCUUGUGUAGGCCCUUGUCAAUUUCUUUGAGUUACUCGAACUUACCUUGCAUGAGAAUCUUUUCAAAAGGAUGUGUUUGAUGAGAAAGAAAAAAGAAUAUUGAAUUGACAUGGAGGGACUUGAAUCUUGGAUGAACUAGACUUCAUCACUUGGAACUGUUACAAGGGUUACAGUUUGAACUGUGAAGAAAGCACUGGGGUGUUCGGCCAAGUCUAACCACCGAAUUCACGUACUUUGCAAACCUUGAUGACUGAUUGAAAAUUAUGAGUUAAAAGAAGCAUCAAUUACAUAAAGAUUAACCUUACCUCAUGUUAUUGUUUUUGUGUUUGUGAUGAACGUUUUGAACUAUAAAUUGUGAAUUGAAGCAUGUCACAUUGCAAUGGCAAAGGGGCAGAAGAGGUAAAAACUUGGGGAUUGUUUA